rnacentral:rRNA from 1 species
UACGUAGGGUGCAAGCGUUGUCCGGAAUUAUUGGGCGUAAAGGGCUCGUAGGCGGUCCAUCGCGUCGGGAGUGAAAAGCUGGGGCUCAACCCCAGUCCUGCUUCCGAUACGGGUGGACUAGAGGUAUGCAGGGGAGAACGGAAUUCCUGGUGUAGCGGUGAAAUGCGCAGAUAUCGGAAGGAACGCCGGUGGCGAAAGCGCACGACUGGACCUCUCCUGACGCUGAGGCGCGAAAGCCAGGGGAGCAAACGGG